UACGGGGGGGGCAAGCGUUGUUCGGAAUUACUGGGCGUAAAGGGCUCGUAGGCGGCCAACUAAGUCAGACGUGAAAUCCCUCGGCUUAACCGGGGAACUGCGUCUGAUACUGGAUGGCUUGAGGUUGGGAGAGGGAUGCGGAAUUCCAGGUGUAGCGGUGAAAUUCGUAGAUAUCGGGAGGAACACCUGUGGCGAAGGCGGCCAUCUGGACAGUCACUGACACUGAGACGCGAAAGCGUGGGUAGCAAACAGG
rnacentral:rRNA from 1 species